GCUUUGAAGUUUAUUAAAAAGGUUACAGUGUGGAGUAAUAUUUCGUUAUGUACAAACUAUUUACAGGAGAUGUCAAGCCCAAAGGAACAAUAGUAAUCAUAACCGUAAGACGACGAAGACGAACCACUGAUGAACGACGGCGGAACGGAUGGCUUUGGGGUGAGAGGAAGGAAGGAGAAAUAGGAAAUGAGAUUAAGAAGAAACGAAAGGGGAGUGAAUGUGGGAUAAAAAGAGGGAGAUGAGGAGAAGUGAGAACAGGCGAAGAGUAAAAGGAAACAGACGGAAAUGGUAAAGACUUAGUAAGAGGAAGGAAGGAGGAGAAAGAGGAGAGGAGAUUAAGAAGAAACGAAAGGGGAGUGAAUGUCGGAUAAAAAAAAGGAGAUGAGGAGAAAUGAGAACAGGCGAAGAGUAAAAGGAGACAAAUGCAUGGAAAUGGUAAAGACUUAGUACAAUAUCACUGGUAUCUUAGUAGUACUUUAUAAACAAUUUUUUUUAAUUCACAAUAGUACGCCGAUUACGUCCAUGCUCACUCAGCUUACAGUAACAUUGAUGAAGGUAAGGUAAAUAAAAGGUAAAGUAUGGUAAGGUAAGGUAAGGUAAGGGAAGGUAAGGUAAGGAAGUGAAAGGUAAAAGGAAAGGCAAGGUAAGGUAAGGUAUAGGGAUAGCAGAGAAAAGGAGAAGGGAGGAGCAGAGAAGGGAUGGAAAGGGAAGAGAAGAAAAUGAAUGAAAGGAUAGGGAAGGGAAGGGAAGGUAACGUAAGGUAAAGGAAUAGCAGAGAAAAGGAGGAGAAGGGAAGAGCAGAGAAGAGAAGGGAAGGGAAGAGAAGGAUAAUGAAGAGAAGGAUUGGGAAGGGAAGAGAAAGUAAGGUAAUGGAAAAUUAACUCCCUAUUUAUCAACUCUAUACAAACUACACAUCAUUUGGUCUUACAACGCAAUAUAUAUGAUUAAUUUUAUCACUCUGCAAUAACAAUCAGAAACUCAUUAACAGCAUUCGAUUCUAAAUAACAAACACCAUAAUCAUAAUAAUUUUCCCAUGGUAACAGAAUACGUUAUCGUUAUCGGGUACAGCAGUUGGAAAGUUUCGUUUAGUCGGCGCAACAUCUGUGGUCAUAAUUAUGCCGAAGAGAGACAGGAGGGGAAGGGAUUGUAGCCGUAACGAAGGGCAGAACAGUUAGGUAUGAAGUCACAGGUUUUCUUCUUCUAGUUGUUGUUUAGAUUAUAAAAAAAAAGGAUGAAACAAAUGACUAAGGAAAAGUGAGCAAAGAGGAGAAUAACAGGAUUAACAAAAUAGCCAAUCCUGUGAGUAGUUAAUGGAGGAGGAAGAAAGGGAGAAAAUAAAAUGAAAAAUGAAGAAUAGGAUGACAAAAAAUAGCCAGUCCUGUGAGUAGUUAAAGGAUGAAUAAGAAAUGGAGGAUAUAAUGAAAAAUUAAUUAGGGAAAAAAACUCAGAUAAACUCACCCAGAAGGAAAGAAAAGGAAAGGUAAAAUAAGGUUAAGUAAGGAAGAGGAAUAGAAAAGAGGGAAAUGGAGAGUGAGGUAAGGGAAGGUAAAGGAAGGUAAGGAGAUAGAGGAGAGAGAGAAAGGGAAAAGAAGGCAAGGUAAGGGAAGGUAAAGGAAGGUAAGGAGAUAGAGGAGAGAGAGAAAGGGAAGAGAAGGCAAGGUAAGGUAAUGUAAGGUAUUGAGAAGAGAGAAGAAAAAAUGUAAGUUAAGGUAAGGUAAGGUAAGGUAAGGAGAUAGAGGAGAGAGAGAAAGGGAAGAGAAGGCAAGGUAAGGUAAUGUAAGGUAUUGAGAAGCGAGAAGAAAAAAUGUAAGGUAAGGUAAGGUAAGGUAAGGUAAGGUAAGGUUAGGUUAGGUUAGGUUAGGUAAGGUAAGGUUAGGUUAGGUUAGGUAAGGUAAGGUAAGGUAAGGUAAGGUAAGGUAAGGUAAGGUAAGGUAAGGUAAGGUUAGGUUAGGUUAGGUAAGGUAAGGUAAGGUAAGGUAAGGUUAGGUUAGGUUAGGUUAGGUUAGGUAAGGUAAGGUAAGGUAAGGUAAGGUAAGGUAAAGUGGCUCAAGUGUGUCCUUUCCUACAUUCCUUCACUUGCCUUAACCUUUCUCGCUCCCUUCGUUAACCAUUCCUUCUUCUCGUAUCCCUCCUUCAUCCCUCCCGCCUUCCUUCUCUUUUAUUGAUAUUUCUGAUACUUUGUUCAUUCGGUCCCUUCCCUUCCCUUCUCUCUCUCUCUCUCUCUCUCUCUCUCUCUCUCUCUCUCUCUCUCUCUCUCUCUCUCUCUCUCUCUCUCUCUCCCCUUCAGCCUCUCACUCCGGCUUGCACGCAUUAAACUCUCACUCACAUUCACCCACACAUCUAAAACUCCCCUUCUGCCCUAGUUCUUGCAAUACUUCUAAAACUCCGCCCCCACUCACUCCCUCUGUCCCUCCCCAUCCCCGUCUCCCAACCCUCCCCCCUCCCCCCGCCAACUCAGCUCUCCCACAUUCCAUCAGUGCGUCAUCUAUACACCGAUACUCGUGUUCCUUGAUUUUAUUUUCCUGGAGAAGCGUGCAUGUUUGGGUCUAGCCACGCCACUCACCACCGCGAGGCAAACACGACACUUAAAAGGCCCUUCACACUUGUUGACACGCACGAUAACACGCAUUCUCACACCCACCCACUCACAAGCGCACACACACACACACACACACACACACACACACUGAAUCUCUCCUAGCUAUUAAAGGAUUUGGUGGUCAGAGGAUUGGUGGAAGGUAGGUAAAAGAAAGGCAAGAAAAAUCGUAAGACACACCGUUCUACAUUUAUGAUUAUGAAAUGAUGCUCUUGUAGGGUAACGAGGUACCAAGAGAGGGGAAGGUCAGACUUAUGUAAAAAUGCAUAUCCGUAAACGAACAGCACCUCAGGUGGAACUAAUGACUGGAAGAUGAGAUUAGGAAGAGUUGCGACGGGAGUGGAACUGAAAGGAGAACGAGGGAAAUGGAGAAUGAGUGAUAGAAAGGCAUGUGAGGGGAAUGUGCUGCAGAACGAGAAUAGGAAGAGAAGAGAUAAAAUGAAGGAGGGAGAGGAAGAGGGAUGAGGAGGUAGAAUGAGCCGGUCGUCGUCCAAUGAACAGAAGACAACACAACACAUCACUGCGGGGCCGACGUAAGAAAGCACGAGACGCGAGCAAAACAUAAUCAUCGUCAUGUCAGUACGUUGUGCGUGGAACUGUUUGAUUGGUAUAAAGCUGCUGCUGCUGCUGCUGCUGCUCCCUCUUCACCUCUCCUCCCGUAUCAAGUAUUUUUCGAUCGACUUGCAGGAAUAAGGAAAACCUGAUGACGAUGCCUCCGCUGUUUGUACUGAAUAUCAGAAGGCGAGAGGCAUAAACGACUUGAAAUGGAACAGAGAGAGGAAGGAUGGAGUGAGGGAAGACGCUGAGGAGGGAGGGAGGCAGGGAGCCGGGUAGCAGCCGUGCGAAAGACCGGAGAACACGGAGCUCGGCACACACACAAAAAGAAAAAGGAAACUAGAACUCAGUCGUUGAUUGGCCAGUUGUAGAUGAGAUGCACAGCAGCCGCAUUGCCGCCGUGUGCGUGGGUCACGGGGAAGUGGAGGUGUGCUGACACCCUCUAACAGGUAGUGCGGGGAGGGUGUCGGACCCCAGGAGACCCCAGCCCCCCACGCUCCAGCCCGCGUUGCAGCACCUCUAGGCUCGUGGCGCCCCGUCCCACGCGUGGCACGAGUAUUGCUAAGUACAUGGAUGAGGACUAGCGACUGGAGACUUUUUCGCGCUCCUCAACGUUCUAUGUUAUCAGUUAAGGGACCAUUACUCCUACAACAUCCAGGAAUAUAUUAUGUAUUAUGAGAGUGAUGAGUUCCGAUACAUUACGCCGGUCUGCUACGUAAAUGUUUGUCUACUGCUACGAAAUGGACUGGAGUAACCAAAAGUCGCUACAGUUUUUCUCGACAUGACUUACAAUAUGAUUGUCGAAAUGUGAAACAAUAUAAAGAAGUUUAAACAUGGCGAUGUUGACGGUGUUCUCCGGCGUGGGCGGCAGCGUGGCCGGCCGUGAACUGAUAUGUAGCCGGCGACGUGACGCCAGUCGGCGGCCGGGACCUCCGCCGGCGAAGCGGCGUCCAGCCGGCGGCGAGGAGGCUCGGCGCUCACACAGCAAGGUCAAGCUGGCCUGCCCUUGACCACACCAUCAAGGUGUUACCGUUAGUGCUGGAAAGAUGCGCCGCUCAUCACUGACGGCUUGUGACUACGAGUACUUCUGCUACCGGGGAGGUUUGGACAUGUAAUGGGGUGAAACAUUGUAAAGAGUAACUAUCGUACACUAAAAACAAGACUACCGAGUAUGCCAAACGCGAGCCUGGCGAGGGCAGCAGCAUGGUAUACUUGUGGCACGGCGGGCAGGACACUGGGCCACGAGGUGUGCCAGCCCGGCUCUGCCCCGUACGGCAGCCAGCACUGCUCGCCAGGCCGCGGCGCGGCGCGUGGCGCGUCGCGGCCAGCGCUGCCCAGGGCGUUGUCGCAUAGCCCACCUGAAACAACAAUAAGUCAACAGACUAUUACUGUCUACAGGUCGCUCGUGACGUAACAAGAGCGUGUGGGUGAACCAGCGCGUCGCGUGAACGAGGGAACUCUUGACAUCGUGGAAUGCAAAGGACUUCGACUUGACACCCAAAAAAUAUAAGAUAUUAUAUAUAUGUAUAUUUAUAUAUAGGGACCUAUCUAAUAGAUCGUUUCGCGUAUAACUUUUACAUGUUCAUAACAGUAACCAUUUGUUGUAUCAACUAUGUCAUAAAUAACAAUAAAAUACGCAACAUAUUAACACCACAUUUGAUAUCGUCCUGCAGCGGCACCAGCGCGGCGGUGUUCGGGAACGUGAAGUGAGCGACGCAGAGUGGCGGCGGCGGCGACGCGACCCCCGCCGCCAAGGACACGCGGAGCCUGGCUGCCCGCCGCGCACCACCGCAGACACGCCGCCACCCCCGCCACGGUGGCCACCACAGCCACGACGCGCUGGCAGGGCACGGCACGGGCUGUGGCGCCCCGCGGCGUGGGCGGAUGUGCUGCACCAUGCGGCGGGGGUCCUGAGAGGGCGCGGCCCGGCAGACAGACAAGUAUAAGGCGCAAGGGCCGUGGAGAGAGAACUCCCUCCAAGGUCACAGUGUCUCGCUUAUGGAGAGUACAGUUAAUAUUAUAACUGUGAACAGCACAAAUAUAUAUAUAUAUAUAUAUAUA